rnacentral:rRNA from 1 species
UACGAAGGGGGCUAGCGUUGUUCGGACUUACUGGGCGUAAAGCGCACGUAGGCGGAUUAGUAAGUCAGGGGUGAAAUCCCGGGGCUCAACCUCGGAACUGCCUUUGAUACUGCUGAUCUCGAGUCCGGAAGAGGUGAGUGGAAUUCCUAGUGGAGAGGUGAAAUUCGUAGAUAUUAGGAAGAACACCAGUGGCGAAGGCGGCUCACUGGUCCGGUACUGACGCUGAGGUGCGAAAGCGUUUGGAGCAAACAGG